GAUGAACGCUGGCGGCGUGCCUAAUACAUGCAAGUCGAGCGAACAGACGAGGAGCUUGCUCCUCUGACGUUAGCGGCGGACGGGUGAGUAACACGUGGAUAACCUACCUAUAAGACUGGGAUAACUUCGGGAAACCGGAGCUAAUACCGGAUAACAUGUUGAACCGCAUGGUUCAACAGUGAAAGACGGUCUUGCUGUCACUUAUAGAUGGAUCCGCGCCGCAUUAGCUAGUUGGUAAGGUAACGGCUUACCAAGGCAACGAUGCGUAGCCGACCUGAGAGGGUGAUCGGCCACACUGGAACUGAGACACGGUCCAGACUCCUACGGGAGGCAGCAGUAGGGAAUCUUCCACAAUGGGCGAAAGCCUGACGGAGCAACGCCGCGUGAGUGAAGAAGGUCUUCGGAUCGUAAAACUCUGUUAUUAGGGAAGAACAAAUGUGUAAGUAACUAUGCACGUCUUGACGGUACCUAAUCAGAAGGCCACGGCUAACUACGUG
rnacentral:rRNA from 1 species